GCUACAUACUCUGAAGAAUCUUAUUUUUGAGAGAACAUCUACUUGAAAUGUACAGCUGGUUUAAUAUUUAUAGGACUUCUAACAGGUUUUUCUUAGCACGUACUUACCUCUCUUUUCCUUUGCAGUCCGUUGUGACACGACAGAACGUAACUGCAGAGAAAUUGGAGUGAAGCAUUUCUGGGGCUUUAAGGUUGAAAUAAUUCUUACAAGGUCUGCUGUUUGAAGAGGAAGCUGUGAAUAAGAAUAGCACAAGAAGAUAAACAGCUACUUCAAAACAAAUUUUUCCAGCUCUCUUCCAAAUACAAAACGUUAUUGCUAUGUGCUGUGCUGCAAUUGAAAGCAACUUGGUUGUGACAGGGUCACGGGUUUUUAAUAACCUGAGCUGCAGCAAGAGAAGGGUACCAGGAAGGAUCCAUCCAUCCCCUCUCAUCCAUGAUGCCAGCCCUCAGGAACAAAAAGAUUUAUUUCUUCACACCUGAUGUGUGUUUACUCCAAUUCUACCUCACUGAGGCAGAAAUCAUCCAACACCAGCUGGAAUACAACUCACUGCUGAACUGGGAAGUGGCUCUGAAAUGAC
rnacentral:lncRNA from 1 species